rnacentral:lncRNA from 1 species
CCUCUCUGUCUAAUUAUAAAAAUCUUCUUAAAACCCACCUCUUUUCUUUGGCUUUUUAACACCAGGUGGAGUGUUGAUCUUAUGUGUAUACUUGCAUAUUUGUAUUGUGUUUGUCAUAUUGUAUUUUAUUUAUUCUACUUAUUUCUGUUUUAUUUUUUUGUGCAGCACUUUGGAAACCUUGUGUUUGUUAAUCGUGCUAUAUACAGUAAAUGAAGUGGAUUGGAUUGGAUUGGACUGGAAGUCAUGCCAGUCUGAAUAUAUGGACUUGACGAACGUGUUUCAUGCACAGUGUCCGACGGAGGCAACAGGGGGCCACGGCACUUUCGAAAGCCCAGGUGACCAUGAAGCUAAAAAAUAUUUGUGGCAAAUACAGACGGGCCAUGGACACAGGACGUCGAAGUGGCCAAGGACGGGUGGUUAUUUUAUGAGCUUUGCCAGGAGAUCUACACGCUCCAUCGAUUCAAGCAUCGAGACAGGUGACCUGGUGGAGUUGUCGUCCCAGCCCUCAACACCGACAGAGGAGAUGCCUGCAUCACCAAAUUCAACAGAAUCCCUCGACUGUCUUCCUCCUGCAUUUUUGAAGCAGUGCCGGGUUUUGCCCAAGUAUGCUCAUCAUUUCAAGCUUAGCUAUCUAGCUAUAUGCUACAGUGCCGUGUCGUUGGAGGCAUUAGGAUGGAUGCAUGUUUAUGCCAAGCUGGACAGCCACAGAGGGGACCGACCAAAGAGGCUGACCCAGCAGAGGAGGAUCUGAAAAUCAAGAGGAGGAUGUUGGAGUUGACUGAGGAGUCAGCAAGAAGUCACGCUGAGAACAUGACACAGAUCAACACAAACAUUGCAAAUAUAACCAGCACCAUACAGGAUGGCUUUUCCCUGAUGAGGGAAUUGCUUAUCAGACCCCAGUUUUUACUCCGCCACAGCAGCAGGGUACAAUCAUCAUAUGAUGAUCACAAUCAUCAUCAACCAUCAUAUAUUCAUUCAACACCACACCCCACGACACAAGCCUUUCGGCAUACAGCUACACCCAAUCGGCGUGUAUACCAACCUGGACAAUGCACACCUACACCAACACGCAGCCCAGAGAAUUAAACGUUUUCAUUCAGAAGAGCACUGCUGCAAGACCAUGUGGAGUGACCUUUAUGUUAUAUUUGCAC